AUUGAACGCUGGCGGCAUGCCUUACACAUGCAAGUCGAACGGCAGCACGGGGGCAACCUUGGUGGCGAGUGGCGAACGGGUGAGUAAUGCAUCGGAACGUGCCCAGUAGUGGGGGAUAACUAGUCGAAAGAUUAGCUAAUACCGCAUACGACCUAUGGGUGAAAGCGGGGGAUUCGCAAGAACCUCGCGCUAUCGGAGCGGCCGAUGUCUGAUUAGCUAGUUGGCGGGGUAAAAGCCCACCAAGGCGACGAUCAGUAGCUGGUCUGAGAGGACGACCAGCCACACUGGGACUGAGACACGGCCCAGACUCCUACGGGAGGCAGCAGUGGGGAAUUUGGACAAUGGGCGCAAGCCUGAUCCAGCCAUGCCGCGUGCGGGAAGAAGGCC
rnacentral:rRNA from 1 species